rnacentral:rRNA from 1 species
UCCAGACUCCUACGGGAGGCAGCAGUGGGGGAUAUUGCACAAUGGGGGGAACCCUGAUGCAGCGACGCCGCGUGGGUGAAGGAGCGUUUCGGCGCGUAAAGCCCUAUCGGCAGGGAAGAAGGAGGACGGUACCUGACUAAGAAGCCCCGGCUAACUACGUGCCAGCAGCCGCGGUAAUACGUAGGGGGCAAGCGUUAUCCGGAUUUACUGGGUGUAAAGGGGGCGCAGACGGCAGCGCAAGCCAGGAGUGAAAGCCCGGGGCCCAACCCCGGGACUGCUCUUGGAACUGCGCGGCUGGAGUGCAGGAGGGGCAGGCGGAAUUCCUGGUGUAGCGGUGAAAUGCGUAGAUAUCAGGAGGAACACCGGUGGCGAAGGCGGCCUGCUGGACUGCGACUGACGUUGAGGCCCGAAAGCGUGGGGAGCAAACAGGAUUAGAUACCCGAGUAUUC